rnacentral:rRNA from 1 species
CGAAGCAGUGAACUUAAGCCCCAGUAAACGGCGGCCGUAACUAUAACGGUCCUAAGGUAGCGAAAUUCCUUGUCGGGUAAGUUCCGACCCGCACGAAAGGCGUAACGAUUUGGGCACUGUCUCAACAACAGACUCGGUGAAAUUGUAAUUCCGGUGAAGAUGCCGGAUACCUGCGACAGGACGGAAAGACCCCAUGGAGCUUUACUGUAGCUUGACAUUGGGUCUUGGUACUACAUGUACAGGAUAGGUGGGAGGCUUUGAAACCAGGACGCCAGUUUUGGCGGAGCCAUCCUUGGGAUACCACCCUUGUAGUACUGGGACUCUAACCAUAGGCCAUGAAUCUGGUCUUGGGACACUGUCAGGUGGGCAGUUUGACUGGGGCGGUCGCCUCCCAAAAGGUAACGGAGGCGCUCAAAGGUUCUCUCAGUACGGUCGGAAAUCGUACGUAGAGUGUAAAGGCAAAAGAGAGCUUGAUUGCAAGACAUACAGGUCGAGCAAGGAUGAAAAUCGGACUUAGUGAUCCGGUGGUUCUGCGUGGAAGGGCCAUCGCUCAACGGAUAAAAGCUACCCUGGGGAUAA